ACCAUCAUGACAAACGCCGUGGAGGAAGACGAGUGGCUGCAACCCUUCCUCGACUAUUUCAAGCAUCGCAGUCUCCCCGACGACCCCGUCGCGAGACGCCAACUACAACGACGACUCCCCUUUUAUCUUUAUGAAGCAGGUGUCCUAUACAAGUGGUCUCAUGGACAGGAGGUCCUACUUCGGUGCGUCAAUCGAGGUGAAGCCGAGAAGAUCCUCCAGGAGAUGCACCAGGAAGUCUGCGACGCUCACCAAGGAGGAGCCAAGAUGUAUCAUAGCAUACGUCUUGCAGGAUACUACUGGCCCGGCAUCAUGGCGGACUGCCUGCGGGUGGCCAGGUCUUGCCACAACUGUCAAGUACAUGGCGACUUCAAACAUCUACCGCCAGUACCGCUUCACCCUACCGUUCCCUCUUGGCCAUUUGAU
rnacentral:rRNA from 1 species